AAUAAAUAAGUAUAUGUAUUUACGUCAUAUGAUGACAUAGCAUUGUAACGUGGCUUUCACCACCUUACAAUGAUUUACUUCAACACUGUGCAUCAUUUACCCUCACCAGACCUCAACGCAGAGCUCUCCACCAUGCCAGAAUUAUCCUGCACGUAUUAAACUUCACCUCACCGCACUGACCAAAGCUACGUACACAACUCACCCCACUACACUGACGAAAGCUGCGCUAUGCUGCUAUAUAAGCAAGCACUUCACACCGAAUGCGAUCAUUUCUUCCAGCUCUCCAGCGAGGACGGUCGCAACCAGCAGCAAUAGGCAGGGGGGAGCUACCGUACAAAUCGCCGCCGUGCAAAUCACCGUUGUACCACUCACCGUUCGUUUUAAUCACCGUGCCAGCCUCAACAAGCGUCAACGCCUGGCUCAUCAAUACCGUUCGUUUUCAUCUCCGUGCCAGCCUCAACAAGCUUCAACGCCUGGCUCAUCAAUCCCGUUCGUUUUCAUCACCGUGCCAGCUUCAACAAGCGUCAACGCCUGGCUCGCCAAUCUCGUUCGUUUUCAUCACCACUGUAUACAUCACGCUGGUCUGGCUGUCCGCAUAAGGGGUGGGGUGUGGAUACAACUUUACGAGGAUAAAACUCGUCUCUUAUUUGCUAAGGGUUCGUGGGUCCCAAGGCUGACCCUGGAGCGGCUGAUCAAAACCUCAACUAUGGACGAAACCCCGUUACAGCAUCUAUGCGCAAUCAGGGAAUAUUAAGAAAAAUAAGUUCUUUGAUAUUCCAUUUUUAACAGCGAAAAAUGUGUACAAAUACAGCUCUCACACAUACUCAAGAAUAUGAAGAGACAUAAAUAUACAUAUGUAUGCAUAUGCUGACCACCUGUACGUAAAUGACACGUACAGUACGUAAAUUUGGAGCCAUGUACCGUGUACCGAAGCUUUAGCGAAAAUCACGAAAAUGUACGUAAAUUGAAACGGAGAAUAUUGAUGUACGUAAUUUGCGUUAAAACAACAAAAAAUUGCUAUACAAUUGUGUCCCACCCGUGACGAUGGAAUGAAUACCCCUAAUGCAAAUUAAAUAUAUUCACCCAGCUUUAACUAUGUUAAAUUCGCCAUUAUGGCAACGCCGUUUAUGGAAUGCUUUUAUUGUAUUUAUUCGUGUUAAAGAGAAAUUACAUAUGUUAAAGCUCUUCUUAUUUACAUUUAUUCAUGUAUUUUCUACCAACAAUUUGUGGAACUUAUGCUGACAGGUGAUAUUGGGGAAGCGACGCUAUUGUGUGUGUACGCUGUAUUAUUUUUGUCGCGAAAACGUGGAGUAAAUAUAUUUAACGAAAAAUUGCGCGAAGAAUUUUCGUUUAUUAAAAAAGCGAAGACCGAAAGUGACGUCCUUGCGAAGUGUGCAACACGGGUAUUAUGCAUAGUGGUCGCCGAGAUAUUGAGUCGCAUAUUAAAUCAAAAAAAUCACUAAAAUGCAUUGCACGCUGCCACGCCCAGCCACACACUUAAGAGAUAUUUAAAAAGUUCUACUUUGACCGGAACAGAUGCUUAUAUCGCGGCGUGUGAAGGCGUUUGGGUAUUUCAUGUAAUAAGUUCUAAUCACAGUUUUCGCUCGGCCGAUUACGCUUCCAAAAUCAUUCGGAGUUGUUUCGCAAUGUCCAAUUUUCUUGUGCGCGAGCGAAAUGCGAAGCCAUCGCAACCGGAGUGUUCGCACCGUUCGUAUUGCAAGAGCUCCAGAAAGACUUAAAUGACUGCCAUUUCUUCACUAUAUUGACGGACGCGUCUAAUCAUGGCAGCACAAAAAUGUUUCCGAUAUUAGUUCGCUUCUUUUCGGAAAAGGAUGGCGUCAAAGUGAAAAUUAUAGACUUGGUAGAUGCACAUGGAGAAAGUUCCGAAAUAAUUGUAAAUUUGCUGAAUAGCGCUAUGAACAAAUAGAACAUAAAUAAGAAACUAGUUGCGUUUUGUGGAGAUAACGCGGGGUGUAAUUUUGGCAACGUUAAUCGAACCGGCACAAAUAAUGUGUUCUACCAACUGAAGCAGCUUUAUCCUGGAUUGAUUAGCGUUGGAUGUGCAGCGCAUAUUGUUCACAAUACUUUAAAAAAAAGCUUGCGACAAAAUGCCUUUUGAUGUGGAGAUGAUUGUAGUCAAAAUUUAUUCACAUUUCUAUUUGUUCACCGUGCGUGUCGCAAAAUUGAAAAAAUUUUGUGAAUCCGUGGAUGUGGAAUAUAAAAAAACUGAUAGGUUACAGCAAAACUCGUUUCCUAGGCUUGUUGUUAUCAGUCGACUCAAUAUUAAGAAUUUUUGAUGGUCUUAAGGAGUAUUUUUUGGCAGAUCCAAACACCCCAAAAUCUUUGCUACUAUUUUUUGAAGAUCCAAGGGCCAAGAUGUGGCUGAUUAUCCUUCGUGAUCAAGCAUCUAUUUUCAACAGAACAGUUAAAUCAGUGGAAAGCGACAAUAUAAAUGCAAUGGAAGUUGGGCAUGCACUCAAUUCUUUUGUCCAAUCGCUCGAAUCUCGGAAAAAAGAAGCAUUUUUGUCCGCUACAGUGCAAAAGGAAAUGGAACAUAUUUCUGCUGUUGACGAAAGAGUGUCAAAAGAAGAGAUGCAAGAUCUCUCACGUCAAUUCUAUGAAUCAUGUAUAAAAUAUAUUGAAAAGUGGAAAGAACAAUUUGACCAUAUUAUGAUUUUUGCCUGGUGUGCGCUUGAUCAACCACCGCAAUGGAAGUUUAUCGAAACCACCGCGAAAUACAUCGCAACCAAUAACCAUUUUGAUCUGGAAUCAUCCGAUACUGAUUUAUUCGAUCAGUUCACGUAUUUGGAAAGAUACGUAACCGAAGAGAAAAUCUAAUCGUGGGAAGAAAAUGGUACUGCCACCGAUCAACGCUGGGUUGAAAUUUUUCAACAUUUCGUCAAAAAGAAGGUUCCAUACAACCAAAUGGUCAGAAUCAUAUCGUAUAUUCUCUCCUUGCCAGGCACAUCAGCCACCGUUGAACGAGUAUUUUCUCUGAUCAAUCAGAUUUGGAACGAUGAAAAAUCACAAAUAAAGAUCGAAACAUUGCGAGAUCUUUAUAUGUUCGAUCCAACAUUAAAAUGACUUGUAAGGAAUUUUUUGAGUUUUUAAAAAUGCAACCUAAAAUGUUGAAGGAAAUUGCAUCAAAUGAAAAAUCCGCAUUCAAAAAUGCCAAUCAGAUCGACGAAAACAAAAAUAAGUAGGCUGAAAUUUGUAUGCAAAAAACGAGUUUGGAUAUCAAAAAAUAAACUGCUUUCUCCACAACUUGACCAUAAAUUGAAAUCAAAUUAAAUUGCAUUUGCAAGCACCGUUUUUUUCAUUAAUUAAAAACUGUACAAAAUAUAAAGUUAUAGUAAUCUAACUACAGUGAAACUUCGAUAAGUCGUAACCUCGAUAAGCGAAAAACCUUAAUAUUUCAUAGUAUUUCUUCGGUCCCUAGAAAAAUUCGCGAAAAAUGCAUGUAUUUCGGUCCCUUUGAUAACUCGUAUUUUUCCUGAGACAAAAAUUGAAACUCGUAUUUUUUUCACAAAAAACCGUACGUGACGAAAACAUAGUACGUUUUUUAACCGUUAUUAUUUUACAGUUACACUUAUUCAUAAGUUUUGCUUUGUUUUCUACAACUAGCGUAGAAUUGAAAAUUUGCGUCUUUUUUUCAUGGCAUCAAAUGUUGAAGACACAAUUUUUAAUGACAUUGAAAACAUUGAUAAUGCUAUAGAUAAAAUACGCCAAAAUAAUGUCCGUCCAAAACGUAUUACGGAUUUCAUUUAAAAUGAUUUCUUUUUUUAAAUUUUUGUACAAUUUUUCAAAAUACAUACAUACAUAUAUUGAUUGAAUAACAUAUGAACUUUAUAUUUUAAAAUUUAAAUAUGUACAAUCAUUUCUUGUUUUUUAUGUAAAAUUGAAAAAUAAAUAAAAAAAACUCUAUAAUUCGUAUAUUCUGUAUGUUGCUGUAAGUUGUGUAACUUGAUAACUUGAAAAA